UGUAUCUGCAGCGCAUAUACAGUCAUAAAACUGGAAGGAGUAAGCUUAGCAUAGCCCCUGCACAAGGAUGACAUGCAAAUUCAUGAAUCAUUCUGUAUGUGG